rnacentral:rRNA from 1 species
AUACGAAGGGGGCUAGCGUUGUUCGGAAUUACUGGGCGUAAAGCGCGCGUAGGCGGAUUGAUCAGUCAGGGGUGAAAUCCCGAGGCUUAACCUCGGAACUGCCUUUGAUACUGUCAAUCUUGAGUUCGAGAGAGGUGAGUGGAAUUCCUAGUGUAGAGGUGAAAUUCGUAGAUAUUAGGAAGAACACCAGUGGCGAAGGCGGCUCACUGGCUCGAUACUGACGCUGAGGUGCGAAAGCGUGGGGAGCAAACAGGAUUAGAAACCCCAGUAGUCC